CGUGAUGGGCAAUUUGGUCAUUUCCAUUCCAAUUCUCACAAACCCAGUUGUAUUAAACACCACCUACCCCUUAUUCAUCCAAACCCUGACCCCCAAUUCAUCUCUUGACAAGAAAUUCGAAUCCAUAAUUCAUCGAUUGAGCAUGCCAAAAAUCCAAUCAGUAAUCUGUCCAUGUGGGGCUAGCACUGAGAUUUGCACAUCAUGGACAGAUUCAAACCCAGGCAGGCGAUUUCAACGUUGUACAAGAAUUGUAGGCAAUUGUGGUUUUGUUUGCUGGGUUGAUCCCCCAAUGUGUGACAGAUCCAGAUCGAUCAUUCCAGGGCUGCUGAGAUCGAUUAACAACCAUGAAGCUGUGGCAAGAAGAAAUGCAAUAAAAAUUCGAAGGCUGAAAGUUAUAAUUUUUGCUAGUUGGUUUUUCUUUGUCUUUUAUUUUGUAGCUAAAUGAAGAAACCCUAGUUUCAUUAGUUGACUCUUGUAAUGCUGAUAACUUUGUUGCAAUGAAUCAAAGUGUUAACUGUUGUAA